GUACGCUAUUCAGAGUUUGAUCCUGGCUCAGAACGAACGCUGGCGGCGCGUCUUAAGCAUGCAAGUCGAGCGGUAAGGAGGUAGCUUGCUACUUCCCUAGAGCGGCGGACUGGUGAGUAACGCGUGGGUGACGUACCCUUUGGUUGGGGAUAGCCGGUAGAAAUACCGGGUAAUACCGAAUAAGACCUCUAGUAGAAAGAUUAGAGAGGAAAGCGGCUUCGGCCGCGCCGAAGGAACGGCCCGCGUACUAUUAGCUAGUUGGUGAGGUAACGGCCCACCAAGGCGACGAUAGUUAUCCGGCCUAAGAGGGUGAACGGACACAUUGGGACUGAGAUACGGCCCAG
rnacentral:rRNA from 1 species